rnacentral:lncRNA from 1 species
AUUUGAUUGGAGUUUAUUUGUCAACAGUGGUGUCCUGGAAAAAUAGAGCUCACUAAUUCCAGGAGAUUGUGAGCUGUCAGGCCCCUAUCCUUUUGGAGCCUGGUUCUCUAGCUUUUCCUUAAAUUCUCUGAGUAUUCCAUAGCGUUCCAAUAAAUUCUUGUUCUUUUCCCUAUUAAGUUAACUAGGAUCUGUUUUUACUGUGUGCAAUGGAAGAGUCCUGAUAGAUGCUCAUUCCUUUGGAGGGAUUCCAUUGGGGUUACAAGCCUAGAGACCCCCAAACAAAGCCCUGUGAAACCUCUCUCUGUUGCUGCUAUUUCAUGCAGUAGGUCUAUUCAGAAAGAAGAGAGGAAGGGGAAGAUGUCUUAGCAUCAUGUUUCCAGAGGACUCAACUGAGAGAGAAGGAGGAGUGAGAGAGGCAGCCCCGGGAACACUGUCUACCCUGCACCUUCUGGCAGAUGUGGCCUGCAAGGAGGCUGAGCAGGCUCCGGCAGCACCAGAAAGAGCCUCAGGUAUGCAGCUUGAGAGUGGAUGCAGGCAGCAUACAGGGAACUGUUCAUCACAGCCGCGGGGAAUCAGAGGCAGCUUGGAUAAUGGGGAUUGCAGGUCAGCCCUUGCCAAUUCGAUUUACUCUGAGUCAAAAACCAAGGGGCGGAUGGCAAGGAGCCCUGGUAACCACACAGCCAGCAGCAUCGGUGGAUGGGGGCUCAGACCCUGUGCCUGACAAGGAAGACGGAGCAACAAAGCAUCUAUUUACUUUCAAUUCAUUUUGACAUAUCUUUAAAUGUGUGUGGCUUUUGUAAUCAUAAAAAAUAUUCGAAUCGUUAUAAAAACAAUUAUCUCUGGGGAUAGGAUUAUAAAGGAUUUCAUAUUCUAUACAUCUGAAAACCUUUGUUUUUGAAUGAUUUGGUCCCUGAACAGUGUAUUUUUUUUUGCUGUUGUUUUGUGCCCCUAAACAUUGAGUGGUAUUCCUCUAGGCGGUGCACAGGAACAAACAGUGCAGGAAAGAUGAAAGAGAAAUAACUGAGUUUCACAGUUAUAAAGUCAAUUACACACACAAACACACACACACUACCUCUUCCACUUGAGUCAGGUGUCAAGAGAAUGACCUUGGAGGUUCACUACAGGAGGGCACGGCUUUUUUUUUUUCUUCUUCCAAUGCUUUCUCUCCUCGAGCUCCAGGGUUUCAAGCCAAAGGCAGGUAGAAC